ACCUGUUUGGAUUCUUGAGGGCUA
rnacentral:miRNA from 2 species